CAGUAGCCGCGGUAAUACGAAGGGGGCUAGCGUUGCUCGGAAUGACUGGGCGUAAAGGGCGCGUAGGCGGAUGGCACAGUCAGAUGUGAAAUUCCUGGGCUUAACCUGGGGGCUGCAUUUGAUACGUGUUGUCUAGAGUGUGAAAGAGGGUCGUGGAAUUCCCAGUGUAGAGGUGAAAUUCGUAGAUAUUGGGAAGAACACCGGUGGCGAAGGCGGCGACCUGGUUCAUGACUGACGCUGAGGCGCGAAAGCGUGGGGAGCAAACAGGAUUAGAUACCCCGGUAGUCCCUGUCUCUUAUAU
rnacentral:rRNA from 1 species